UUAGAUGAUGAUGAUGAUGAUGCAUUUGAAGAAGAUUUGGAUGAUGAUGAUGAUGAUGAUGAUGAUGAUGAUGAUGAUGAUGAUGAUUCAUCUCCUGUUUCUGAUGA
rnacentral:misc_RNA from 1 species